GGCUCAGAUUGAACGCUGGCGGCAGGCCUAACACAUGCAAGUCGAACGGUAACAGGAAGCAGCUUGCUGCUUYGCUGACGAGUGGCGGACGGGUGAGUAAUGUCUGGGAAACUGCCUGAUGGAGGGGGAUAACUACUGGAAACGGUAGCUAAUACCGCAUAACGUCGCAAGACCAAAGAGGGGGACCUUCGGGCCUCUUGCCAUCGGAUGUGCCCAGAUGGGAUUAGCUAGUAGGUGGGGUAACGGCUCACCUAGGCGACGAUCCCUAGCUGGUCUGAGAGGAUGACCAGCCACACUGGAACUGAGACACGGUCCAGACUCCUACGGGAGGCAGCAGUGGGGAAUAUUGCACAAUGGGCGCAAGCCUGAUGCAGCCAUGCCGCGUGUAUGAAGAAGGCCUUCGGGUUGUAAAGUACUUUCAGCGGGGAGGAAGGCGAUAAGGUUAAUAACCUUGUCGAUUGACGUUACCCGCAGAAGAAGCACCGGCUAACUCCGUGCC
rnacentral:rRNA from 1 species